rnacentral:lncRNA from 1 species
CCCAGAACUGCCGAGGGAGACGGCUUAAAAGGCGAACAGACAGACGGCAGGGAGGGUCAGCAUGCCCCUACUGUUGCACCCCGCCUGGCCGCUGCUCCUGGGCGCCACGCUGACCUUCCGGGCACUCCGGCGCGUGCUCUGUCGCCUGCCCCUGCCGGCACACGUGCAAACCGACCCCCUGCGCACCUGGCGUUGGCACAACCUACUCGUCUCCUUCACACACUCCAUUGUAUCUGGGAUCUGGGCUCUGCUGUGGUGAGUGAACAACCCGGGGUAACGAGAUGGCCGUAGGGUCUUUCGCGGGGUGCUCGGACUGGAUUCCCUGUUGCUAUUCCCACCACUCUCGGGUGAACAGACACCAAGGAUCUCACCUGAUUCCCUGUUUGGAAAACUACCCAACCAAGAACGGCUGUGGGAAACCCAAGGUACCUGGGCUUUGGCCAAGUCCCUCCUUACUCUCCAACCAGCCAAU